GAUGAACGCUAGCGGCAGGCUUAAUACAUGCAAGUCGAGGGACAGCACAGGUAGCAAUACUGGGUGGUAACCGGCAAACGGGUGCGGAACACGUACACAACCUUCCUUUAAGUGGGGGAUAGCCCAGAGAAAUUUGGAUUAAUACCCCGUAAUAUAGUUGAAUGGCAUCAUUUGACUAUUAUAGCUACGGCGCUUAAUGAUGGGUGUGCGACUGAUUAGAUAGUUGGCGGGGUAACGGCCCACCAAGUCUACGAUCAGUAGAGGAUGUGAGGGCAUGAUCAGCCACACGGGCACUGAGACACGGGCCCGACUCCUACGGGAGGCAGCAGUGGGGAAUCUUGCGCAAUGCGCGAAAGCGUGACGCAGAAACGCCGCGUGGGGGAAGAAGGCCUUCGGGUUGUAAACCCCUUUCAGGAGCGACGAAGGUUCGGCAGUGAAUAGCUGUCCGGACUGACGGUACCUCCAUAAGAAGCCCCGGCUAACUACGUGCCAGCCGCCGCGGUAACAC
rnacentral:rRNA from 1 species